rnacentral:lncRNA from 1 species
CUAAAUACUGAUGGGGUAUUUGUGAGAUCUAUUUUUUAAUUGAUGUGAGGUUCCACAUGGAUAAAAAACUAAUAAAAAUUGUAUUUUUUAAAUUAUUUUAAAAAAUUAAACAUAUUAAAUUAAAAUUAAGAAAUAAAAUAAAAACCCUACCCAGAUUCUCCCUUCCUCCCAAUUUCUUCCCUCCCCCCCAGAUUUUUUCCUCCACCCAAUUUCUGCAAAUUCCAGGAUAGCUUGCUCUGUUUUGGUCUUGGCAGCAACAUAUGAAGUUCCAAAUAUUUUAAGAGACCUAUGAAAUUCAAUAUCACUCCAUGAGCUCUCAUCCACCAAGUCUUGGCUGCUGCCACUGUAAGCCACAGUUGAUGCACUAGAAGUGUACACAACCUCUUCAGAGUCUUGGAAUUUAGGCAGGCUUUCAAUAUGCCCAGGGCUCCUUGGACAGCUUUUUUGGUCACUGCUUCUUCAUCAAGUUCUUUGAUAGGCAUGGGGUGAGCAACAUGGAAGACCCCUAUGAAUCCUUCAAUUGCUUCAUUGAACCAAGCCGACGAAAUCUGGGUGGUGGGGGAAGAAAUCGGGAGAGAGAGAAUCUGGGUAAGG